GUGUUCGACAGCACGUAUACUUAAAUUGGAACGAUACAGUGAAGAUUAACAUGGCCCCCAUGCAAGGAUGACACGCAAAUUCAUGAAGCUUUCAAUAUUUUU